GCGUACCUUUUGUAUAAUGGGUCAGCGACUUAUAUUCUGUAGCAAGGUUAACCGAAUAGGGGAGCCGGAGGGAAACCGAGUCUUAAUUGGGCGUUAAGUUGCAGGGUAUAGACCCGAAACCCGGUGAUCUAGCCAUGGGCAGGUUGAAGGUUGGGUAACACUAACUGGAGGACCGAACCGACUAAUGUUGAAAAAUUAGCGGAUGACCUGUGGCUGGGGGUGAAAGGCCAAUCAAACCGGGAGAUAGCUGGUUCUCCCCGAAAGCUAUUUAGGUAGCGCCUCGUGAAUUCAUCUCCGGGGGUAGAGCACUGUUUCGGCUAGGGGGCCAUCCCGGCUUACCAACCCGAUGCAAACUGCGAAUACCGGAGAAUGUUAUCACGGGAGACACACGGCGGGUGCUAACGUCCGUCGUGAAGAGGGAAACAACCCAGACCGCCAGCUAAGGUCCCAAAGUCAUGGUUAAGUGGGAAACGAUGUGGGAAGGCCCAGACAGCCAGGAUGUUGGCUUAGAAGCAGCCAUCAUUUAAAGAAAGCGUAAUAGCUCACUGGUCGAGUCGGCCUGCGCGGAAGAUGUAACGGGGCUAAACCAUGCACCGAAGCUGCGGCAGCGACACUGUGUGUUGUUGGGUAGGGGAGCGUUCUGUAAGCCUGUGAAGGUGUGUCGUGAGGCAUGCUGGAGGUAUCAGAAGUGCGAAUGCUGACAUAAGUAACGAUAAAGCGGGUGAAAAGCCCGCUCGCCGGAAGACCAAGGGUUCCUGUCCAACGUUAAUCGGGGCAGGGUGAGUCGACCCCUAAGGCGAGGCCGAAAGGCGUAGUCGAUGGGAAACGGGUUAAUAUUCCCGUACUUGGUGUUACUGCGAAGGGGGGACGGAGAAGGCUAUGUUGGCCGGGCGACGGUUGUCCCGGUUUAAGCGUGUAGGUGUGUGUUCCAGGUAAAUCCGGUCCACUUUAACACUGAGGCGUGAUGACGAGGCACUACGGUGCUGAAGCAACAAAUGCCCUGCUUCCAGGAAAAGCCUCUAAGCAUCAGGUAACAUCAAAUCGUACCCCAAACCGACACAGGUGGUCAGGUAGAGAAUACCAAGGCGCUUGAGAGAACUCGGGUGAAGGAACUAGGCAAAAUGGUGCCGUAACUUCGGGAGAAGGCACGCUGACACGUAGGUGAAGUGAUUUACUCACGGAGCUGAAGUCAGUCGAAGAUACCAGCUGGCUGCAACUGUUUAUUAAAAACACAGCACUGUGCAAACACGAAAGUGGACGUAUACGGUGUGACGCCUGCCCGGUGCCGGAAGGUUAAUUGAUGGGGUCAGCGCAAGCGAAGCUCCUGAUCGAAGCCCCGGUAAACGGCGGCCGUAACUAUAACGGUCCUAAGGUAGCGAAAUUCCUUGUCGGGUAAGUUCCGACCUGCACGAAUGGCGUAAUGAUGGCCAGGCUGUCUCCACCCGAGACUCAGUGAAAUUGAACUCGCUGUGAAGAUGCAGUGUACCCGCGGCAAGACGGAAAGACCCCGUGAACCUUUACUAUAGCUUGACACUGAACAUUGAGCCUUGAUGUGUAGGAUAGGUGGGAGGCUUUGAAGCGUGGACGCCAGUCUGCGUGGAGCCGACCUUGAAAUACCACCCUUUAAUGUUUGAUGUUCUAACGUGGACCCGUAAUCCGGGUUGCGGACAGUGUCUGGUGGGUAGUUUGACUGGGGCGGUCUCCUCCUAAAGAGUAACGGAGGAGCACGAAGGUUGGCUAAUCCUGGUCGGACAUCAGGAGGUUAGUGCAAUGGCAUAAGCCAGCUUGACUGCGAGCGUGACGGCGCGAGCAGGUGCGAAAGCAGGUCAUAGUGAUCCGGUGGUUCUGAAUGGAAGGGCCAUCGCUCAACGGAUAAAAGGUACUCCGGGGAUAACAGGCUGAUACCGCCCAAGAGUUCAUAUCGACGGCGGUGUUUGGCACCUCGAUGUCGGCUCAUCACAUCCUGGGGCUGAAGUAGGUCCCAAGGGUAUGGCUGUUCGCCAUUUAAAGUGGUACGCGAGCUGGGUUUAGAACGUCGUGAGACAGUUCGGUCCCUAUCUGCCGUGGGCGCUGGAGAACUGAGGGGGGCUGCUCCUAGUACGAGAGGACCGGAGUGGACGCAUCACUGGUGUUCGGGUUGUCAUGCCAAUGGCACUGCCCGGUAGCUAAAUGCGGAAGAGAUAAGUGCUGAAAGCAUCUAAGCACGAAACUUGCCCCGA
rnacentral:rRNA from 1 species